GUCAUAGAUUGUGUGACGCUCGUCACACAGUCUUUUUGGCAUGGCUUCAGCUAGCGUUCUUCAGAAUAACUUUGGUAAUUUAUUUUUUUAUUAUUUAUUUUGUUUUGCUUCAGAUUAUUUUAUUUAUUCUUCAGAAUAACUUUGGUAAUUUAUUUUUUUAUUAUUUAUUUUGUUUUGCUUCAGAUUAUUUUAUUUUGCUAUUUAAUUUUCCUGCAUGCUAUUCUACUUUGUUUAAUAGUGCAUAAAU
rnacentral:lncRNA from 1 species